rnacentral:rRNA from 1 species
UACGGAGGAUGCAAGCGUUAUCCGGAAUGAUUGGGCGUAAAGCGUCCGCAGGUGGCGAUGUAAGUCUGCUGUUAAAGAGUGAGGCUUAACCUCAUAAAAGCAGUGGAAACUACAUAGCUAGAGUACGUUCGGGGCAGAGGGAAUUCCUGGUGUAGCGGUGAAAUGCGUAGAGAUCAGGAAGAACACCGGUGGCGAAGGCGCUCUGCUAGGCCGUAACUGACACUGAGGGACGAAAGCUAGGGGAGCGAAUGGG